rnacentral:rRNA from 1 species
AGCAGUGGGGAAUUUUGGACAAUGGGCGCAAGCCUGAUCCAGCAAUGCCGCGUGAGUGAAGAAGGCCUUCGGGUUGUAAAGCUCUUUUGUCAGGGAAGAAACGGUGAGAGCUAAUAUCUCUUGCUAAUGACGGUACCUGAAGAAUAAGCAUCGGCUAACUACGUGCCAGCAGCCGCGGUAAUACGUAGGGUGCAAGCGUUAAUCGGAAUUACUGGGCGUAAAGCGUGCGCAGGCGGUUUUGUAAGUUUGUCGUGAAAGCCCCGGGCUCAACCUGGGAAUUGCGAUGAAGACUGCAAGGCUUGAAUCUGGCAGAGGGGGGUAGAAUUCCACGUGUAGCAGUGAAAUGCGUAGAGAUGUGGAGGAACACCGAUGGCGAAGCAGCCCCUGGGUCAGAUUGACGCUCAUG